GCCCGGAUGGCGGAAUUGGCAGACGCGCACGGUUCAGGGCCGUGUGGGAGUAAUCCCGUGGGAGUUCAACUCUCCCUCCGGGCACCG
rnacentral:tRNA from 1 species